rnacentral:lncRNA from 1 species
CGGAUAGUGCUCACACCCAAACUUCAUGAACAGAACUGAUUAAGUGCAGUGUGGAAGAGCUAGCUCCAAUGCAUCAAAUUUUAGAGGGAUCUCAUAGGGAUCCCAAGGCAGUCACACACUGGUGGGGCAGAACUUAACGACCUAAGAGUAGAGUGAGAGUGCUUUACAUAGUUUUGAAAAGGUUUUAACAGGAAAGCAGUAUUUGAAAAAGACUCAAUUGAAAUAGUUUUAUAAAAUAGGAGAAUUGUUUAGUAAAAUAGUUUUUGACAAGAGUUAUGGAAUCGCACAAAUAGCAGAUCAAACAUAGAGCCAAAACAAGUUUAGCAAAACUCAAAUAACAACCCUACACAUAGGGGUAAUUGGGGCUGGGAACACAUAAUACACGUAAACAGAAGUCUUUGCAAUUAAGGGGAUAGCUAAUAGUGCAAACGGUAAGACAUGGAUUCAGGGGUUCUAACUAGAACAUAAUUAUAGAAUCAGAGGUGCUUUAGUGGGUUCAUGGGAUUAGGGAUAGCUAAUGAUACAACACAGUAAGAAUUUCAUGACCAACAUAGAAUCAGACAACUUAAGAGUAACAAAAAUUGCUUUGCAAAGAAAGGUUCAUACUAGAAACUAAAUAGCAAGUAAACCAACAUUCAAAAACAUGGUAGAGUCAAAUUUAGACAAACUACAAGUUCAUAAGACAUGCUGACCUUACAAGGGGUAGGACAUAACUAACAAACCAGGUGAAGCAAUAGGUCAAUUACAUGUUGAACAGCGAAAUAAUACAUAGAAAUAGAUUAGGAAUAUGAUAAACUGAAGCUAUGGGAAACACAUUGGUUUGAGAGCUUGAAUUUAAAAUCAGAACAUACCAGUAAAGAGAGUAAACACAAGGUGAAGAACAUGAGAGUGUAGUAAUUAUCCUUGGCUUUCAGUCGGCUAAUUUAGUAACAAUAGUAAGUAACAAAAGAAAGCAAAAGAGCCUUUGAGUUUAUGAGAGAUUGUGAACUAAUGUGAGUUCAUCUCUAUCCGUAAGACUGUAGAAGAAAGCGAUAUAUAUAGUAGUUUGAAAUCUAGGUAAAUAAAGUAAGAAUCAAAAUUAUUCAGUAAUUAUAUAACUCAGAGCAAAAUUAGUCAAAGUCUUCCCUUAGUUAUGGGAAUUAGUUCAAACGGUAAAGAGCAUGUCACAAUUAAGGAAAGAAAUCAUAUUAGCUGGAGUAUAACAAAUAAGAAAAGAUUUCAAAGAAUAGAAGUAUAGAAUAGGUAAUUAGGGCUAGGUUCAGAACGUCCUAAUUAAGGAAACAAUAUUAAGAAUCAGUAAAUAAUGUAGUCAACCACAUAAUCAAGCAAGAAGAUAAUUUAGAAGUUGGAAAUAUCAUAAAGGGUAUCAAUCACGGGAAAUCCGGGAUUCAAAUAAAAGUAGUACUGAUUAAGAGAAAUUAAUAUAAAUUUCUGCGGAUAAAAAAUAGGAAUAAUAUAGGCAAGAAGAAUCAAGUCAGAAACCCUAUUAAUCAUAAUAGGGGUUAAAUUACGGAGACUCAAAACAUAUUCAUGAGAAACAGAUAUUCAGAUGAAUCGAAUGAACAAAUCAGCAAAGACAGACUCAAGAUUACAACAUAGUGUUAAAACUAGGGUUUUAACACAACAAAAUAUGAUUAAAAGCAAUUUUAACAGAAAUUCAUUUAAACAUAUGAGAAUCAAAGAACAAUAUUAAAAAACCAGAGAUAUGUUUUGAAGAAAAGUUUCAGAAACCCUAACGGUAAAAUAAAGUGACGCUUUAAGAAAUUGAAAGGUUUUUCAUAAAACAAACAAAAUUAGUUCACAAAAACCUCAUAUUUGUUACAGAUCUAAG